rnacentral:lncRNA from 1 species
UAAACACAAAAGUCUUGUUAGAAGACAUUUAUUUGGGAUGAGGAAAGGAAACUGAGGACAGGGUACAGGAGUAAUAGCAAUUCCCUGUAGCUCUCAAAGCAAAUUUUGAGCUCAUUUUUCUUUUUCUGCAAGCUCAGCAGCAGAAUGCCCAGAGUCUUCCCUGGUAGAUGCAGGUUCCAUAGCGACGUUCUCCUGCAAUGCACGCUGGUAUUCUGCAAUAGCAGUCCAUGUUUUUCCUUGAGCCUGGGACAGGGAGAGCAUGAGAAAUUGAGUAUGGAGUUAGCAGUGGGUAAGAAAAAGAAUCUCGGGGAAGUCACAUGCUAGCUGACAGGUGAUGCUGGCUGCAUUGCAGCCGUUAGCACGAACAACCUCAGUCGAUAGGAAUAAACACGCAGAGCAGUGCUUGUCACACAGAAUUUGAGACUCAUUCUCCUUUGCUCUCAUUUUUGCAUUCCUGCCCCAUCACACACACACCUGAACAUACCCUCAGGCUUGGCUGCAGUUUUUAAAAGCUCUUCUGUAGAGUAAAAUGUUCUCUUUACAACUAAGUCUACUUGUUUAGAUCCAGAAAUAACUAGUCUGUCUCUUCAUAUCUUAAACUUAGUGAAUUUCACAGAUGUUUCUUGGAAUCAAGUCUUUGGAGAAAUAAAGUUUCUCAGGUUUAUUUGGCUCUCUGUUCAAUUUCUAGAUGAGAAAAUCAAUGCCCAGAGAUUCUAAGUGAAGCCACCUCAGUGACAUAGACUGCUGAGACCCAACUCUGGAACCUCUCUCCCGUCCUUCCCUCUAGACUUAGCAGCUCUGCAUGCCUGCCUC